rnacentral:rRNA from 1 species
UGGGGAAUAUUGCACAAUGGGGGAAACCCUGAUGCAGCGACGCCGCGUGAACGAAGAAGGUAUUCGUAUCGUAAAGUUCUGUCCUAUGGGAAGAUAAUGACAGUACCAUAGAAGAAAGCUCCGGCUAAAUACGUGCCAGCAGUCGCGGUAAUACGUAUGGAGCGAGCGUUGUCCGGAAUUAUUGGGCGUAAAGGGUACGCAGGCGGUUUAAUAAGUCGAAUGUUAAAGAUCGGGGCUCAACCCCGCAAAGCAUUGGAAACUGAUAAACUUGAGUAGUGGAGAGGAAAGUGGAAUUCCUAGUGUAGUGGUGAAAUACGUAGAUAUUAGGAGGAAUACCAGUAGCGAAGGCGACUUUCUGGACACAAACUGACGCUGAGGUACGAAAGCGUGGGGAGCAAACAGG